rnacentral:ncRNA from 2 species
UGCAAGGAUAAAAACGCAACGCAUGCGAUAAUGCAUGCCAGAGCCGGUAGGUAGCCCGGCCGUCCCGCUUCUGCGGGGUAAGUAACCUGCCAGUCCUGGUUGUCCAUUCCUUGUCAA